AUUGUAACACCAGUUCCCAUACAAUCAUUGAAGCUAAGCAAUGUCAAGCCUCAUUAGUAUUUAGAUGGUUGACUGUUUGGGAAUACUAGGUGCUGUAAG